rnacentral:rRNA from 1 species
UACGUAGGGUGCAAGCGUUGUCCGGAAUUACUGGGCGUAAAGCGUGCGCAGGCGGUUUUGUAAGUUUGUCGUGAAAUCCCCGGGCUCAACCUGGGAAUGGCGAUGAAGACUGCAAGGCUAGAAUCUGGCAGAGGGGGGUAGAAUUCCACGUGUGAGCAGUGAAAAUGCGUAGAGAUGUGGAGGAACACCGAUGGCGAAGGCAGCCCCCUGGGUCAAGAUUGACGCUCCAUGCACGAAAGCGUGGGGAGCAAACAGG